ACUUAACACAAACCUCUUCUGAACUCUGGGACAAUUUGGUUUAUCUUUCGGUCUCUUUGUUUUUGUUUAAAGCUGUACCCCAAGCGUUUCCUGUUUCCAGAGGGGAUCAGAAAUGGAAAUAGUUUAAAGGUUAUUCUCAUAUCGUGGGUAACCAGGAAGCAUCUAUGUAGUUUACUGGGAAGCUGGUUUUCACAAGACUGCUUGUAUUUUUUUUUUUUUUUUUUUUAAAUCCUAACAAAGGCGGGACCCAAGAUAAGCAGAAGCUAAGAAUACUGGAAGUUUUGAAUGCCUACUGGGACCACGUCUCUGGGAGCCUGCUUUUCCUCCUUUGCUCUCCUAACUCCAGAGAGUCUGAAUUCAACGGAGUGGGAUUUUCCAGCCUCUGAACACAUUGAUGUUUCUGCAGAACAUGUCUCACAUCCUGCUCACAGGGGAUGCCUUGAAGACAGGCAACGAAGAGGCUCGGGAAGGCCUUUUGUCUAAGGAAUCUUUCUGUUUAUAAGGAGUUUGCUCAAGUAGUUUAAGACUUGAGCUCUGGAACAAGAUCUGCAUUCAAAUCCUGACCACCAGUUUGGCAGUUAUGGGACCUUAGACGAGUUGAGAAUCUAAAGAUGAUGCCUUCCUUCACUCUGAGCAAAAAUGGUAUAAAGAUUAUAUAUUGAGGGGGAAAAACCAUUUGCCCUUCUGAUACCUAUUAUGUAAAAAUUUGUUUUUCUUUAUUUACUUUUAUUUUAUGUGUAUGAGUGUUAUGCCUGCAUGUAUGUUAGUGCACCCGUGUCGUGCAUUGCCAAUGGAGGACAGAAGACGGCAUUGGAUCCCCUGAGACUGGAGUUACGGACAGUUGUUAACUGCCAUGUGGAUGCUGGGAUUCAAACCUGGGUCUUUCUGCAAGAACAGUUAGUGCUCUUAACUGCUGAGUUGUCUCUCCAGCCCCUGACCUAUUCUUGAUUCAUAAUGAUAAGAUUAAAUAACAUGAAGUCAAAACUUGGUUAUCCCACCAGCUGCUGUCAAGUGUGUUUACAGAGCUUUAAUCUAGCUUGAUGUUGAUAAUGGAAUCUGAGUGGCAGAGUUUCCAAGCCAACACAUUAGCAUGUUUGCAUAAUAAGUAUUCAUCUGGAAGUUAACUUUCUGCUAAAAAUUUUAGAGAGAAGCAAAGUUCUUUGGAAAGAGUUACCUUAGAGCUUUAGAAAUGCUAGCCUAUGGUCAGUUUUUCCAUGUUUCCAAGUUUGCCUAAAGGAAUUAGGAACUCACAGAUGACAUGGUUAAUGUUUCUGAAAUGCUUGUUCAUUCUGAGCACUGCUUUACAUCUUAUUUUGCAGAAUCCUCUUUGCAACUGUGCUUACCAUUCUCCACAUUUCCAUUUCAAAGCUGGAGGAGCCAAGGGCCAGAGACAUAGCUGCUAAGUAGCAAAGCUGAGAUCAGACCCAGGAAAUCCAACUUAAGCCCACUGGUCCACAAAUUAAAUCUCAACCACUAUACUUGUUUCUAUGAUAUCAUAUACCAAGAUGCAGGAGUCAACAGAAAACGAAGUGACUGUUUCUUGUAUACCUUCAAAUGACCUAGACACAUUAUGGUUAAAGAGACACUGCUUGUAGAUGAAGGUGACCUAAGACUGAUCAAAUCAAUGUGGACAAGCAGAGAUGCAGGCAGAGGCUAAUGCAGCAUGCUGCUGGAAAGAGGAGAACCCAGUGACCGACUCCAUUAACUCCAUCUUCAUCUUCCAACAGUGUGAAUAAUUAAGAUAUGGGUUGGUACUAAGUAGCUCAGCUCCUUUUACGAGCGGCUUAUGGAACUGUGGAAACUAUCUAAAAAUAUAUAACCAAUGUGAGAGAAAUAAUGUUGUUACAGGGGAAUUGAUAACUGAGGAUAAUGGGAAAGGAAAGAAAGAGCAAGUUGCAGCUAAUUAUGAGGGAAAGCCCCUUGACACCGAGAAUGGUGAGCCAGGAUAAUGGUCUCCUGGGGGGAGUGGCAGAAUCACCAUCAGUUAGUACAUUUAAAAAUAGGCAACAGAGCACUAGAAACAGGGCUAUGGGGAAUAAUCUUGCAUUAGGCAGGAAAGGAGGUAAUUGACUGAGUGACCUAAUAUUAAGAGUUUUCUUUCUCAUGAAUUUCGUGAAUUCUGGAAAAAAAUUUAUAAUCUGUAUUCAAAAAUGUAGGUACCUAGUGACUGGAAAUACCUAAAUAUAGUCUCAAAUUAUUCAUAAAUGCAAAAUGAGAGCAGCUGUGCCCUAGAUGGACCAUGAUACGCUGGUCAGAGGAAAUGCAGGAGGUGGACAGGGAAUGGCGCAGUGCUGUCAGAAGCCAGAUUUCUCUGGGGCACUCAGGUGGGGCUUUGCUCACGUGCACCUGAGCUGCUCAAAGGUGUGUCAGUUGUUUGCCUAGAUCUCUUUGCCCCUUCCUCUUCUCAUCCUACACUAGUGCACUGCCGGAGUUGGCGAAGACACCAUUUGUGUGUCUGUAUCUUCCAAAUCAGUGCUCUCCAGCCUUUAAAACUGGUGAUGGUGAGAUCACAAAGCUGUUUCCUGUGUAGUCCAGAAGCUUGACUCAGCCCCGGAGAGGCUUGCUCAAAGUGCCAAUGUCAGAAUUUUCCUGCAGACCCACGGAAGCAGCAUGGAAGCUGUGGAGGGGUGGAUCUGCAGCUUUAUUAAUGCAAGCUUUAACACAUAUUAAAAUGGAGAAAUUUCACCUGGGAUAGGACAUGAUGGUUAAGUCAAAAGAAACUGCAGGGGAGAGUGACAGACUGAAGCCUCCUCGCCUGUUCGCUCCUUUCCUUUCCCUGAUUUUCCUUUACUUUGAAUCAAAUGAAAUCUCUUCUAAAUUUCAUUCUACUUAUGAACUUCUAAGUAAAUAUGUGGCCACACCUAGAAUAUAUUUUAGUUACUUGCAAAAAGCUUUAAUGGAAGUUUCUAGUAUGUCUAAGAUGCUAGUUACUAUUCUCUUGUUUUUAUGUUACUUCAUUCCUUUGGAGGACAGAGAUUAUGUCUCAAUCAUUUUCCUAUCCUUACAGUGCUAUGGUGAAGAGUAGGUUAUUUUUAUUGAAUGUGAUUAAGUCAAAUUUGUAAAAAGUAAUAAAAAAACAAGGUAUAUAAUAGAAACCCAGGGAAUGUCAGCUUUGCCAGUGUUACAAGUCCUAGACACUUCGCUGGGCUUUUACUUCCACCUCUGUCAAUAAGCUUAUCUGAAAAAUUAGCAAGUUAUGUGAUGUUUCAGUUCCCUACCCCUACCCCAAGUUGGCAGGAAUAGCAAUCACUUUUUUUUUUCACAAAGCAGUUGAUAGAGUAAACAUGAUAAUACCACUCUUUACUAUCACUUUUCACUUACGGAAGUUAAAAAAAUGAUAUCAACAUUAUCUACAUCAUUUUACCAUCUCCAAAACACUGAACAGGAGUGCAAUCUGCAUUCCCCAGAGAUAAUUACUUUCCCUUACAUCAAGGCAAACCAGAAAAGAGAAAACAGGAAAAAACAAAGAUUCCAGGAAUUGCAUCUAGUUAUAAUGCGUAUCACUAAUCAGUCUUCUAAUAUGAUUCUCUGGAUGAUUCUAGAUAUCAGGACAAGGAAAACAAUUGGCCUUGUUUAAUUUUUGACAUGCUACCUAAUGAACAACUCAACCAUUUUCAUAGAAGGCGAAAUUAUAGCAGUGCUGCGGGUAUGUGGCUACUGUAUUGAAAGUUAAUUGGAUUUCCCAUUAUGAUGAGGUUUGUUUUUCAGAAUUUAAUCUCCUAGUCUCUUCCAAUUGCUCUGAGUUGAUGAUGAGACAGAAGACAUAUAGGGCAUGUGGAGUGAGUCAUGGGUUUAGAAGGAACCUCAUUAGGUCAGAGAAUCCUUAGAUAUAUUAGUGCAUUGUUAUGGUGCAUGCAGGAGCUAGGAUUGAGUAGAAUGUGUCUUCCCAACAUGGACUUUUUCAGAAGGGGAAACUGACUAGCUGUCUUUAGCCCUGCCUCCACCCCAUUCGGACAGUGAUGUGUUUUUAUUCCAUUAGGACGUUGAAUGUUAUCUGUGUGGCUGGAACUAAACAGCAUACCAACUUCUUUUCUAGUCUAAGAGAUUGUUCUAUAGAUUACCUCUUUAACAUCAGUUUGUUUGCUCUGGUGUUUUGAAAAGUGAAAAGAAUUUUCAGAGCAAAAGAACUAUUUUGCACAAAGAUCCAGUAGGCAGUAAUGGACUAGGUGACAAUGGGGAUUUCCCAGUUAUAAAAUGGUAGCUCACACUGUCACCCUAAAAAACAACAAUGGGCAAGAGUGUGGCUAAAAAUAUGCUACUUCAGUGACCCAGUGAGUAGCCCCAGGGAAGGAAGACUUAGCAGACAGAUCAGUGUACCCAGGGGCUCUGAGGAAGUCCUGGAGGCUACUUGACCUAUAAUUGCAUGCAGGAAGAAUGUUCAGCUUACAGUUUUGACACUAUGACUAAAGGUUAUUAAUGAAGUAGUUGUAUCUAUUCAUAUGUUACUAAGAACAUUGACUCUUUAAGUGUAAACAUUUAAAACAUGCCAGUUUUGCUAAUCUUAUUAUGACAUAGUAUCAUUUUGUAAGUUACCAAGAUUCUAAAGAUAAAGUGACCAGGGAUGCCUGUAAACUUGUAGAAACUGACCACUGCCUGCUGGAGAGCCUGGCAGCAGUGAGUGGGGAGAGCUCCUAAAUAAAGUCUUUAGAACUGUGGGCAGAAGUUGAGAAAGGUAAGCCAGGGGACAGCUGGUGAGAACUACGAACUCCAACCAAUUCUAAACUCUUACAGGCAUGUCCUUGACUGUCUACCUGUUAAUGUCCCCAAACUUCAAAUUUAACUUCUGUUUAUGUCAACUUUUACAUUAAAUAUAUUGAAAUUUU